UACGUAGGGGGCAAGCGUUGUUCGGAAUUACUGGGCGUAAAGGGCGCGUAGGCGGCACGACAAGUUGGGUGUGAAAUCCCUCGGCUCAACCGAGGAACUGCGCCCAAAACUGUCGUGCUCGAGGGAGACAGAGGUGAGCGGAACUUAGGGUGGAGCGGUGAAAUGCGUUGAUAUCCUAAGGAACACCGGUGGCGAAAGCGGCUUACUGGGUCUCUUCUGACGCUGAGGCACGAAAGCUAGGGUAGCGAACGGG
rnacentral:rRNA from 1 species